rnacentral:rRNA from 1 species
AUUGAACGCUGGCGGCAUGCCUUACACAUGCAAGUCGAACGGCAGCGGGCCCUUCGGGGUGCUGGCGAGUGGCGAACGGGUGAGUAAUGCAUCGGAACGUACCCGGGAGAGGGGGAUAACCGGCCGAAAGGCUGGCUAAUACCGCAUGAACUCGGAAGAGCAAAGCGGGGGACCUUCGGGCCUCGCGCUCUCGGAGCGGCCGAUGUCCGAUUAGGCUAGUUGGUGGGGUAAAGGCCCACCAAGGCGACGAUCGGUAGCGGGUCUGAGAGGACGAUCCGCCACACUGGGACUGAGACACGGCCCAGACUCCUACGGGAGGCAGCAGUGGGGAAUCUUGGACAAUGGGCGCAAGCCUGAUCCAGCAAUGCCGCGUGGGUGAAGAAGGCCUUCGGGUUGUAAAGCCCUUUCGGCGGGGAAGAAAUCGGUCAGGCGAAUAGUCUGGCCGGAUGACGGUACCCGCAGAAGAAGCACCGGCUAACUACGUG